rnacentral:rRNA from 1 species
AUUGACCGCUGGCGGCAGGCCUAACACAUGCAAGUCGAGCGAGCGGCGGACGGGUGAGUAAUGUAUGGGGACUGCCCGAUAGAGGGGGAUAACUACUGGAAACGGUAGCUAAUACCGCAUCCUAUCGGAUAACCCAUAUGGGAUUAGCUAGUAGGUGAGGUAAUGGCUAACCUAGGCGACGAUCCCUAGCUGGUCUGAGAGGAUGAUCAGCCACAGUGGGACGUAGACACGGACCAGACUCCUACGGAGGCAGCAGUGGUGAAUAUUGCACAAUGGGCGCAAGCCUGAUGCAGCCAUGCCGCGUGUAUGAAGAAGGCCCUAGGGUUGUAAAGUACGUUCAGUCGGGAGGCGUUACCGACAGAAGAAGCACCGGCUAAGUCCGUGCCAGCCGCCGCGGUAAUUC